rnacentral:rRNA from 1 species
UACGAAGGGGGCUAGCGUUGCUCGGAAUUACUGGGCGUAAAGCGCACGUAGGCGGAUUGUUAAGUCGGGGGUGAAAUCCUGGAGCUCAACUCCAGAACUGCCUUCGAUACUGGCGAUCUCGAGUUCGGGAGAGGUGAGUGGAACUGCGAGUGUAGAGGUGAAAUUCGUAGAUAUUCGCAAGAACACCAGUGGCGAAGGCGGCUCACUGGCCCGAUACUGACGCUGCGGUGCGAAAGCUAGGGGAGCAAACGGG